rfam:Gossypium arboreum cultivar AKA8401 contig_105130_1, whole genome shotgun sequence.
AACCCUGGUGAGGGCACCUUCUUAGUAAGUCCUUAUACCUCUCCCAUGCGUCGUAUAAAGUCUCUAAAUCCAUCUGCACAAAGGAAGAGAUAUCUCCUCAAUUUGGCU